GUGUUCGCUACGGCAGCACAUAUACUAAAAUUGGAACGAUACAGAGAAGAUUAGCAUGGCCCCUGAAUCUACUAUUCCCAACGACAAAAAAAGACCAAAAAUGU